rnacentral:lncRNA from 1 species
GUAAAAGAUCACCAACUCUUCUCAGAGCCUUUACUUAAUUCUUUUGCUGAUUCAUGUGUUGUUAGUGAAAUAUCCUUUUCCUUCAGAUUCUUCGUUAUAUAUAACUCUAUAUAGCACAUCAAAAGUGCUAGUCAAUGAUCACACUCAUAGAAUGAAAGAACCACAGUCUGCUAGAGAAGUAGGACUUUACAUUGGGCUCCAAUCCUUUAGUCCUUAAGACCCCAGCACCCCUGAGGGAAAGACUAUAGUGCACCAAGUAACUCAUAAAUCUUAGGAAAAGGGGGUUAUUUUUUCUUUUAUUGCAUGUGUCCAUUAGGCUUACCUCUAAACAUAACUGUACAGAAGGAAUACAAAAUUAAUCUAUUCCCUCACACAAUACACAAUGCCAUUAGCGCACAGCUUAGUUGUUUCACCAAGAGACCCAUGUGGCUAUGUGAAAGCCUCAUGGAAAGAGAAUUUUAAGAAUGCAUUAAUUUGCUGAUUCUUUCAAGUUGAGCAGCUUUAAUUAUUAGUUGAGACCUUUCUGAGCCCAACGCUCCUAUUAAUUUCCACCAACACAUUGGUCCUUGCUGAGCUCUCAGGCUGCACAGAGAGCUGCCUCUUUCUUCCAUGCAACCACAUUCUACAUCCUGUUCCCUAGUCUUUUCUCCUUCAGGCUGAACUGUGUUGGUUCUUUUAGCCAUUUUCCCCCCUGAUCCAUUUUCUGGGACUUUUAACACCCCUGUUGCCUUAUCAUAUAAACCCUGUCUGUGAUGGACCCAGCUCCUUUUUAAAAAGUGAUGGCUUCCACUGAAGAAGCACAUUGUGUAAUGCUCUGGUUGCUAGGGCAUUCUGACAUAGCUAAGCAGAGGGAGUGAAGAGUGAGAGUUAACAUCCAAACAGCUGCUGGAGAGCCCCAUGUGCUGUGCCCCACUUCAUGCUUUGGGCAGCCCCCAUCCUAAGUGAGAUCUCCACUGCAUUCCUUACUCUAGUGCUGUUCCCACGGCACCCUGAGAAAAGGAGAGAUGUUCACUUCUUUUCUUGAAGACCCUACAUCACGCUUGUUCUCUCCUUCCCUGGACUUUGUGACAAAGCUGCUGGAUAUCUGGGAGAGGGAAGCAAGCAAGAAGCCUCAUCAGCCCUUCUCCGGAGGUAUCACCCUGGCUUGUUCCAUAAAAUACCAAGGCUAGUUUCUGAAAAACAAAUGUUCCCCGCAGAGCUGAGGGGCAUUGCUUUCUAAGAUAGGGGUAGCUGGAACACUAAUUUGUCAUUAACAGCUGGGAUCUGCUUUGUCAGAUGUGAUAAUGAGGGAGUAUUUGAUGUAAGUUCUUGUGGAGGAGGAGGAUUAGCUCAGAGGGACAUUUUUUAAGAAAUGUGGUAGGCAGCCCCUGGGAAGAGUGUGAAAAAUAGCCACUUGCUCAUUUCAUGUGUAGGACACUUGAGGGAUUGUCA